AACGCACAUUGCGCCCCUUGGUAUUCCGAUGGGCACGUCUGCGUGAACGUCAUGUCAACACUCGAGCCUGGCUCGGUGAUGGGGACGGUUGGGCCUUCCGGUUUGACCGCCGCCCGCAAAGUGUCGGCCGUGGAGUCUUCCCCCGCAGAGUAGUGAACACGCCUCUGAUCUGGGUGCAGACGACCACGGGCCAAAUGUAUUUUCCACAGUUUUGACUUCAUGUCAGGCGAGGUUACCCGCUGAACUUAA
rnacentral:misc_RNA from 1 species